CACGGGGGCUGCGAGCGUUGUCCGGAAUUACUAGGCGUAAAGGGCAGGCAGGCGGAUCCAUAAGUUUAUCGUUUAAGGCGUCGGCUUAACCGGCGUAGGGCGGUAGAUACUGUGGAUCUGGAAUGCGGUUGGGGAAGACAGAAUUCCUGGUGUAGCGGUGGAAUGCGCAGAGAUCAGGAGGAAUACCGAAGGCGAAGGCAGUCUUCCAAGCCGUUAUUGACGCUCAACUGCGAAGGUGUGGGUAUCAAACAGGAUUAGAUACCCGUGUAGUCCCUGA
rnacentral:rRNA from 1 species